rnacentral:rRNA from 1 species
UACGUAGGGUGCAAGCGUUAAUCGGAAUUACUGGGCGUAAAGGGCGCGUAGGCGGCCAGCACAAGUCAGUUGUGAAAUCUCCGGGCUUAACUCGGAAAGGUCAACUGAUACUGUGCGGCUAGAGUGCAGAAGGGGCAACUGGAAUUCUCGGUGUAGCGGUGAAAUGCGUAGAUAUCGAGAGGAACACCUGCGGCGAAGGCGGGUUGCUGGGCUGACACUGACGCUGAAGCGCGAAAGCUAGGGGAGCGAACGGG